rnacentral:rRNA from 1 species
CACUGAUAUGAAGAGCUUGCUCGGAUUUGAAGAUGAACAUUGCAAAGAGUGGCGAACGGGUGAGUAACACGUGGGAAACCUACCUCUUAGCGGGGGAUAACACUUGGAAACAAGUGCUAAUACCGCAUAAUACUGAUAACCGCAUGGUUAUCAGUUGAAAGAUGGUUCUGCUAUCACUAAGAGAUGGUCCCGCGGUGUAUUAGCUAGUUGGUAAGGUAAUGGCUUACCAAGGCAAUGAUACAUAUCCGAGUUGAGAGACUGAUCGGCCACAAUGGGACUGAGACACGGCCCAUACUCCUACGGGAGGCAGCAGUAGGGAAUCUUCCACAAUGGACGAAAGUCUGAUGGAGCAACGCCGCGUGUGUGAUGAAGGGUUUCGGCUCGUAAAACACUGUUGUAAGAGAAGAAUGACAUUGAGAGUAACUGUUCAGUGUGUGACGGUAUCUUACCAGAAAGGAACGGCUAAAUACGUGCCAGCAGCCGCGGGAAUACGUAUGUUCCAAGCGUUAUCCGGAUUUAUUGGGCGUAAAGCGAGCGCAGACGGUUGUUUAAGUCUGAAGUGAAAGCCCACAGCUUAACUGUGGAAGUGCUUUGGAAACUGGAUAGCUUGAGUGCAGUAGAGGAGAGUGGAACUCCAUGGG